rnacentral:lncRNA from 1 species
AAGGGAUGAGAUGAAAAAUAGAAUACAAAGUGUAUUUCGAUGUGUUAAUUUACAAAUGCUCCGUAGAGUAAGUAGCUCAUUCAAUGAUCGUUUUUAGGCGUACUUAAAUUUGUUGCGUAUAAAUGUGUUGGAGAUAAUUUUGAACAUCUUAUGUAAUUAAAUAUUAAAAAUAUUUUAUUAAAAGUAGCUUCUAAUUUUUUCAUACAUGUUUUUUUUUGCAAAAUGUAUUACUGAUAAAUUAUUUUUCGUUCUUUAUUUGUUGCAUUGUUACAUUUACAUACAAUAGUAGUGUUUAAUUGUCUUCACAAAAUGUUGUAUUUUGUAUUUGUGUGUUUUUUUUUGUAAAAUUUAUUACUAAUUUUCUUUCUUUAUUUGUUGCAUUUACAUAAAAAAGUAGUUUUUAAUUGUUUCAAAAAUGUUGCGGUUGUGUUUUUUUUUUGUAAAAUGUAUUGCUAAUAAAUUAUUUUUAUUUCUUUAUUUGCUACAUUGUUAUAUUGAAUACCGGAUUGAUAGUCAGUAAUCGUCAAUUGUCAAUUCAGUCAUAGCUUACUUAAAAUUUAGAUAAAUUUAGACACCUAAAAUAAUUUGCUCUGAAAAAUGAAAAUAUCUCGAAAACUAAUAAAUUUGGACAUAGGGAAUGUUAUAUAAAAAUUAAAGUACGGUAAUGUUACUUUUUAAUAAUGAUAUAAAAUGUAGGGUGUUCCAUUUAACAUUACUCAGAAAAUAAUGUACUUGCGUUUUGACUCACCCUGUAUUUGAUAUAAAGAAAAUUAGCAAUGUCAAUAAUUCAUGAAAGACAAUAAAUAAAAAAUAUGGCAUUAAUAAACCAUUGUUGUUGUGCUUAUUUUUAUUUAUACAGGGAGUUGAACUUGUUACGAUUUUCAUACAAAAUUGGUUAUAACUUUGUAAAUACCCUGUAUAACAUAAGAAACCUUUAUAUUUUUGUGAAGGAGAAGUUAACAGGAUUUCUAAUAUAAAAUAAAAUAUAGGGUGUUCCAUUUAAAAAAUCAUAAGUUAGGUCUGCCACUGUGUUAUCGAACACCCUGUAACAUUCUAACAAAUUUUGUAAUGUGAAGCUCAAAGGUGGCUAAAAUUUUUGUUAUUAACUUUUAUUGCUACCUAUUACUAUAGCGGAUCUAUUGAGCUUUACCCCACAAAUCAAUCACCCUGUAUAACUCUCGAUAACUUUUAACGUAAAUUCCAUGUGAUGUAUCGAUCACCGUUAGGAGAUCGGUUAUUUCCCAGAAGUAAAAAGGAAGUACAGUCGGAAAAAUGAAAGAAUACCCAUGAACGAACAUAUAAAACACGCUGUAUUUUCCUGUCACCGUGUCACAAUGAAAAUUGUCCAGUGCAAGUACAUGUAAAUAAUUAUUACAUGGACUUGCGCUGGCCAAUUUUUUAUCUGAUAAGGUGACAGAAAAAUACAGCGUGUUUUAUAUGUUCGUUCAUGGGUAUUCUUUCAUUUUUCCUACUGUAUGUAUUGUUUGUCUAACAAAGAGAACCUUAUAUAGAAAUAGUAUAAAUUGGAGCGAGAAAGAGAAUGAUGAGAAGUACCACAACAUACACCAUAAAAGUAGAUUAGGUAGAGCAGUAAAAUCCCUGGAUGUUUAUAAAUUAAAAAAAAUCUUUAUUCUUGUAUCUCUCGAUUUGCCUUUUGUAUAAUUUUCUAUUUUUAAAAGUGCGUAUUACCAUUCUAUUUUUAAAUUAAUUCUGUUUUUUUAAUUUUUAAUUAUUGCUUUAAUUUUAUUAUUACCUAUAUGUUUUAAUGUCUAUUUUUCACAUAAUUUCUAAAAACAAGUCAAAAGAUGAACCUAAUGUUACAAAUAUUACAUAACUAUAACGUUAUCUCGUAACUGCAUGUAUAACGUCGCGUUAUAAAAUGACAGUUGAUACAUCAGAUAACUCGAGAAGUUAACGUUAUGAUACAUCACACCAAUAGGGCUUUUCAACAACAGUCAUUUUUUGUUUAGAGCUUCUGUCUUAUUUCGUAUAAUCCAUGCAUAUUAAUAUUAUACACAGAUUAUACAACAUAUUAUGACAGAAGCUCGAAACAAAUGACAAUCGAUAAAAAGCAAUAUUCAACUAUGAUAACUUAACUACAGGAUAACUUUACGUUAUAUUAACUUGAGUGAUACAUCACAGGGCUGAUUGUGGAUAAAAUGUUGACUGUCCUUAAUAAUUUAAUAGUCUUCAGCUUUUAUUUUUUCAGUUUUCUGAAUUUUGAUAGAAUAUUUUUGUUUAUUUUUGCAACUUUUUUAUUUACCACUAAUCUUGUAAGAUUAGUGGUAAAUAAUUAUUCAUCAUAUUUUAGGCAUUGUCAGUGAAUAUCUAGUAAAUAAGUUUAUCUACUGUAUAAACACCGGUCUAAAGUAUUCUGAUGAUGUUGUUUGACAGCUGAUUUUUCACUAAUUCGUAUUUUUAUUUUAAGUAUCGUUUAGAAAAUUCAAUUGAUCAUUUUAGUUUUUUUAAUUAGAUGUAAGUUGUAUAUAUAGUAUUUUAUGUUUUUUUGUAACGUUUUGAACGUUGCCUAGAUGAUUUUUAUGUUACUUUAACACAUUUUGUCCAAUUUUUCCACAUCUGAGGAAAUUUUCGGUUAUGUGAGCAAAAUUGAGCUCUCUGAUUAGUCGAAAUUGUGAACAUUUUUCAGUAUUAAAGUAUUGUACUGGGUGUCCCAAUAAGAAUGGCUCUCGGCCAUAUCUCAGGAACCGUUUAUAGUACAGCGUUGAGAAAAAAAUAUUUAUAACAAAAGUUGCCUCGGGAAAAGGCUGGAAAUUAUUUUCAUAAUUGUAGGUCCACCGCUAGAGGGCGUAAUUGACUAUCAAAAAUUAAAAAAUCAAAAUUUUACAAAAUUUACCUAAUGAAAGGGCACUGGAAAUCCAAUCAUCGUAUUCUUCAUAAAAUUCUGCGCAUAUUUGAUUUCACAAGUUUAAGUCUACCUUUGCAAAUAAGAGAUGGGGGUGAGUGGGAAUCAUCUUACGAAAACAACGCUAUAAAAUAUAUCAAAGAAAUAAAAGCAAGUAUGUACUUACUUAGUCUUAGUGACUGCCUAAAUUACUAAAUGUUCAAAUUGUUGCCCAUCAUUUUCGAUGCAAGCAUUUACUCUUUCAAGAGUAGAUUGAACAGUAGUCUCAAUUUCUGCUUUCGCAAUGCUUUGAAUGGCGUUUCGUAUUCUCUAGAUUCUUAGAAGAUACAUACAUUGAAAAUUAAUGUUGAAGAAAACAAAAUUUUACACAUUUUUUACGAUUUUGCCGAAACUACUGGCAACAUUGUAAUAAAACUUGGCGUGUUUUAAGAGGUAGUUAUUGUGCAUGUUUUGACAUACAAUUAAGGAUAUGAUAUUUAUCAUUGGCGCGCAUAGGGGUAAUGGUCUGAACUUUUCAAAGAAAAAAGGAUAGUACGCCACUGACAUAUUUCAAAUUAACAAUCAUUUUUGAAUUUCUCGUUCAAUUUGCGAUAAAAAACUAUGUUCUCAUUUUUUCAUACGACGCGCCGUUUUGCUGCAAAAAAUAAAAUAUCUUAACGCUUCCAAAGUAUUCGAAUUAAUUUUUAUAAUGGAUGUACGAGUUUAUGUAGAUGUAGAAACUACUAUUCUUUUUCUUAUGAUCACCUUUCAGUGCGUCAGAGUUUUUCGAUUUCUUUCUAACGCAUUAAAUUGUAUGUGACAGAAAAAAAGGCACGUCGGUGAUUACUUUGGUAAUUAUUCUAGUUCGGUGAUUAUUCUAGUUGUCGAUAGAUGGCGCCAUAAUAAAAAAAAUAUUUUUUUUAGUUAGAUAAUAAUAUUACAAAUAUAAUCUGUAUAAUUUAUAAGACUAUACAAAUCAAAGAAAAUAUCAUUUUAUAAAUGCAAGAAACACAUUUGAUUUGUUUUUAUUCCAAAUUGAAAAUAAAAUGUGACAACUGUCAGAUUUAACUAAAAUGUCAUGUUAGAAUAAAUGUCAUAAAUGUGUAUUAUCACGGACUUACCCUUUUUUAUAUCAUUUGUUACGCACUGAAAAAUGCUCAUGAAAAGGACAAUAGAAGUUCGAAUACUUUGUAAGGGUUAAGAUGUUUUAUUUUUUGAAUAAAAAUGGCGCGUUGUAUGAAAAAAAUAGGAAGAUAGAUUUUUGUCACAAAUUGAACGAGGAAUUCAAAAACGAUUGUUAGUUUGAAAUAUGUCAGAGGCGUACUAUCUUUUUUCUUUAAAAAGUUCCGACCAUUACCCCUAUGCGCGCCAAUGAUAAAUAUAAAAUUCUUAAUUGUAUAUCAAAAAAUGCACAACAACUACCUCUUAAAACUCGCCAAAUUUUAUUACAAUGUUGCCAGUAGUUUCGGCAAAAUCGUAAAAAAUGUGUAAAAUUUUGUUUUCUUCAACGCACUGUAUCUUGAAAAUGGAUGGCAUUACAAAAAAUUUUUAUUAAGCAAACCCCAAUUAUUUUUCAGUUUUUUACCUUUUCUAGUGACGGUGUUACCUUUUUUGAAAAAUAUGUAUAAAAUUGUAUCAAAAAACGAAAAAAAACCGAGAAAAUGCGGUUUUUUAUUUUUAAAGGUGCGUUUCACCAAUUUUAAAAAUUUGAAAAAAUUCAGGGUGAAAUAUUAUGCAAAAAUACACGUUAUAUAUUUUUUUCGUGAAAACGAGUGUCUUAGUUAUUUUUUAUACUCAUUUAAAAUUUUAAAAUCGUUCUAAAAUUUAAAUUUCCCGCCAAAGAUUAAAAAAAAUUUUCGGACAUAACUUUUUAAAGCUUACAACUUUUUUAUUUAAAGUUUUUCGCUAGUUCUCGAUGCGGCUGAGAUAAAAAAUAAAAACAUAAAAAGCCUAAUUAGGCUCUAGGUGGGUCAUAUGACCACCUAGGGGGCUAAAAAUUUCAGAAAGUUAGUUUCACUAUAUGUGCUAAACGGUGACCAAUAUGGAAUUCGAAUCGAGUUGGGGGCAGUUUUCAUCAUCUUACCCAGUUAGGCCCUUUGAACAUAAUAAGUAAAAGUUUAUUACAUUGCUAAAUUAAUGUCUACUCUAGAAAUUAAUAUAGAUACAAUGAUAAUUCUUUGCCUUAUCUCUGCAACACUUGCUCUGAAGGUCUUGAAGAAGGUGGCAGGCAGCAUGAUCUGCUGGGUCUGCAAUAAGGACCAUGUCGUCUUCAAACCUCAAGUUAUUCAAAAACACCCCAUUUAUGUUGAGUCCGAUAUUUUCCCAAUGAUUGUUCCUCGUAGCACUCUAUAACAAAGCGGUGGAUAGUUUAGGAGAGGUAGUGUCUCCUUGCCUAAUACCCCCUCCACGGGAAAUGUGUUUGUGUCACCAUAGUACAUUUAUAUAUAUUUCGAAGAAGAGUUGUGUACCUAUGAUCAAUACAGCACUAUGUAAGAGCUCUUAACAUGGAGCUAUGCUGGACUCUGGUGAAACGCUUUCUCGAAGUCUACAAAUAUUUUUCCUUUGUUAUAUUGUUUAUAUAAUAAUAGUCUCCCGUUUUAUACCGCUCACGUUGCUUUGGGAGUAUAGCAGGGUAGUCUGCUAUAUCUAGGGCCUACGGUAUACACGGAAGGUAACAGGGCCAGUGCUACGCUUCAACCGCCUAUUAUUACCCCUGGUUUUACCCAAGGUACUCAUUUUAUUCAGGCUGAGUCGACUGGGGCCUAUAAACAUUUUAAAAAUGUCUAGUUGUUCUUGCCGGCGGUAGGAUUUGAACUCCGGACCACCGGCACGCUAGCCUAGCACACUACCACUCGGCUACGCCGGCCCUAUAUAUUGUUUAAAGGCCAUAAAAAUCAUCUAGGCAUCAAAAAGGGCGAUAUAAACUUAAUUUUUUGUUUAUAAUUUUCACAUAUUGUAGAUUUUACUGUAAAAUUGCAUUGUAAAUAUCCGGUUUGUCGUAAAAUAGGCUUUGUGAUUGUACAGUAUGUUGAUGAUAAUUAUUUUUAUUUAUAUCGAUAUAUACAGGGUGUUUUUCAACUUCCGUGAUAACCAUUGUAAACAUUUAGCCGUGUGUAUUUUGAGAGAACGAUGAAUUACUAAUUAUCUGGUACAAAAAUGUCGGUCUCUACGACCCCUGUUUAUAUUUCUGUCACUUUCUAACCAUUUAAAGUUUUGCAGAACAGUUUUGCUUUGUAAAAUUUAGCUAUAUAUCAUUUUUAAGACAUUUUAAGAUUAUGUAGCUUUCUGUACUUUUUACCUAUUCUUUCUUAUUUGUUGCUUUAUUUUCCAAUUUGAGAUUUUAAGUUUUUUUAAGUCUUUUUUAACAUCCUUCCUCCACCGGGUUUUCGGCCUACCUUUCUUCUUCUUUUCUCCUAUUCCUCCCGUUAGUAUUCUUUGGGCAGUCUUGUGUUUAGCGUUAUUAUCUUCUCUAGACAUAUUUUUACUUCUUAAUAACUUGUUGAUGGCAAAGAUACGAUUACCAGCCAUAAUUCUCGCUUGGAUUUCUUCGUUCAUAUUUGGUCUCCUGAUACUGGAAUAUAUAUUUAUAUAUUUUUCUUGUUUACUUCUGUAUCACAGUACACUGUCGCUGAUGACAGUACUCUGUCAUCAGCGAAUGCUAGGCAUUGAUGUUUUAGUUGAUGUACAAGUCCUGUCCAGUUCAUUCAGGCUUCUUUGACGACAACUUUAAGAAGGAUACUGAAUAAUAAUGAUGACAGGAUUCCUUUGUCGCACCCCCUCCUCAUUGAUUUCAAACUUGUGUAUUUGUUUUUCAUUUAUUUUAACCAAAUUCUCUGUUUUUCGGAGUGUCACUUUUAUCAUUCUUACUAAUUUUUCACUAAUUCCUAUUUUAUGUAAUGUCUUAUAUAGUUUUUUCCGUUUUACUCUGUCAAAAGCUUGUUUAAAGGCUAUCCAUAUGGCCACUGUAUAUUUCCCAUAAUCAGAGCUUUCUGCUACUAUUUCGUACAAGAGGAAAAUUUGAUCUAUUGUCCUAUUUUGAAUACACAUUGAUAUUCUUCUAUGCCAUUAUCUUAAUUUUGUGAUAUAUCUUUUAUAAUAUACACUACUGCAACUAUUAUAUAUGCAACAUUUAGUGGCGCUGUUCCCCUGUAAUUAUGGCAUAAAUAAACUUUUGUCGCCUUUUGUAUUGCAUUAGCAUCACAAUGCUGUAUCUCUAUAAAGUGCUGGUUGCCUACAUGUGGCGUUUCACGCCAUAAAUAGGCAACCUGCAAUUCACGGUUAUUCCUUUAUCAUAGUUGAUGUUUUAAUAAGCCAUAUUUAAAGAAUUUUAUUUUAAACUCUUCAGAAAUAGUUAUUUGUUCGCCCUAGAGUUCACACGUUUAAUUUCCCUUUUUUUAUGAUUUUGUUUCCAAUGUUUCAUUGUAGUUUCUCCAUUUUCAGUCGCGAAACUGUUCUACGUAAACGAAAAAUCCCUUUAUUGUUCGUUUAACCAUAACUAUAAGUUUGUAAAGCUAGGUUUACAAAUCUUGUGAUAAUUUUUUUAUUAAAUAAUUUGUAAUAUUCGUGCGUAGACUUUUUUCUACUGAUCAGGUCUUAGCUAUUUGUUAUACAAUAAUAUAUCUGUGAUUUUAUUCAUUUAGGUAAGAUUAGUUGUAAAAUUAGUAAACAAUAAAUUUCUCUUCGUAUA